rnacentral:rRNA from 1 species
GACGAACGCUGGCGGCGUGCUUAACACAUGCAAGUCGAACGGAAAGGCCCUGCUUUUGUGGGGUGCUCGAGUGGCGAACGGGUGAGUAACACGUGAGUAACCUGCCCUUGACUUUGGGGAUAACUUCAGGAAACUGGGGCUAAUACCGGAUAGGAGCUCCUGCUGCAUGGUGGGGGUUGGAAAGUUUCGGCGGUUGGGGAUGGACUCGCGGCUUAUCAGCUUGUUGGUGGGGUAGUGGCUUACCAAGGCUUUGACGGGUAGCCGGCCUGAGAGGGUGACCGGCCCACAUUGGGACUGAGAUACGGCCCAGACUCCUACGGGAGGCAGCAGUGGGGAAUAUUGCACAAUGGGCGGAAGCCUGAUGCAGCAACGCCGCGUGCGGGAUGACGGCCUUCGGGUUGUAAACCGCUUUCGCCUGUGACGAAGCGUGAGUGACGGUAAUGGGUAAAGAAGCACCGGCUAACUACGUGCCAGCAGCCGCGGUGAUACGUAGGGUGCGAGCGUUGUCCGGAUUUAUUGGGCGUAAAGGGCUCGUAGGUGGUUGAUCGCGUCGGAAGUGUAAUCUUGGGGCUUAACCCUGAGCGUGCUUUCGAUACGGGUUGACUUGAGGAAGGUAGGGGAGAAUGGAAUUCCUGGUGGAGCGGUGGAAUGCGCAGAUAUCAGGAGGAACACCAGUGGCGAAGGCGGUUCUCUGGGCCUUUCCUGACGCUGAGGAGCGAAAGCGUGGGGAGCGAACAGGCUUAGAUACCCUGGUAGUCCACGCUGCAAACGGUGGGUACUAGGUGUGGGGUCCAUUCCACGGGUUCCGUGCCGUAGCUAACGCUUUAAGUACCCCGCCUGGGGAGUACGGCCGCAAGGCUAAAACUCAAAGGAAUUGACGGGGCCCCGCACAAGCGGCGGAGCAUGCGGAUUAAUUCGAUGCAACGCGUAGAACCUUACCUGGGUUUGACAUGGAUCGGGAGUGCUCAGAGAUGGGUGUGCCUCUUUUGGGGUCGGUUCACAGGUGGUGCAUGCCUGUCGUCAGCUCGUGUCGUGAGAUGUUGGGUUAAGUCCCGCAACGAGCGCAACCCUUGUUCACUGUUGCCAGCACGUUAUGGUGGGGACUCAGUGGAGACCGCCGGGGUCAACUCGGAGGAAGGUGGGGAUGACGUCAAGUCAUCAUGCCCCUUAUGUCCAGGGCUUCACGCAUGCUACAAUGGCUGGUACAGAGAGUGGCGAGCCUGUGAGGGUGAGCGAAUCUCGGAAAGCCGGUCUCAGUUCGGAUUGGGGCCUGCAACUCGACCUCAUGAAGUCGGAGUCGCUAGUAAUCGCAGAUCAGCAACGCUGCGGUGAAUACGUUCCCGGGGCU